rnacentral:rRNA from 1 species
UACGUAGGGGGCUAGCGUUGUCCGGAAUCAUUGGGCGUAAAGAGCGUGUAGGCGGCCCGGUAAGUCCGCUGUAAAAGUCAAAGGCUCAACCUUUGAAUGUCAGUGGAUACUGCCGGGCUAGAGUCCGGAAGAGGCGAGUGGAAUUCCUGGUGUAGCGGUGGAAUGCGCAGAUAUCAGGAGGAACACCAAUAGCGAAGGCAGCUCGCUGGGACGGUACUGACGCUAAGGGCGCGAAAGCGUGGGGAGCGAACAGG